rnacentral:rRNA from 1 species
AGCAGCCGCGGUAAUUCCAGCUCCAAUAGCGUAUAUUAAAGUUGUUGCAGUUAAAAAGCUCGUAGUUGAAUUUCGGGGGUUAGUAGUUUGGUCGUGCCAAUGGUAUGUACUGGGGCUCACUGAUUCCUCCUUCCUGAUGAACUGUAAUGCCAUUAAUUUGGUGUUGCAGGGAAACAGGACUGUUACUUUGAAAAAAUUAGAGUGUUUAAAGCAAGCUAACGCUUGAAUACAUUAGCAUGGAAUAAUGAAAAUAGGACGUUCGAACCUAUUUUGUUGGUUUCUAGGAUUGACGUAAUGAUUAAUAGGGAUAGUUGGGGGCAUUAGUAUUCAAUUGUCAGAGGUGAAAUUCUUGGAUUUAUUGAAGAC